GCAGAAACUCUAGAUGGCGUUCAUAUGCGUCUAUUAUGAAGAUUAUGAGUGACAAGUUAAAUGGGUGUUUGUUACGUUACCCUGUUAUGUGUUUCAAAGGAUUUUUCAUCAAAAAAUUUACGAUUGCUUUUUGUAUGUGGUGGUGUUUCGCCUUGUCAGCUAUGCCAGCUGCUGAACUAGCAGCCUGCAUUCCUGCUAUCAAUGUACCACAAGAGAUCCUGACACUUUAAGAAGGCCACUAUUGCUUACAUGAAGAUCACCAUCCAGUUCAAGGACUGUUAAUGGACCUCAAGCCUUUUGUUUAAGCUUAGUGAUGUGUUCUCUUGUCAGUCAACGACAGUGUCUUCAUCUACUUUGUGUUGCUAACCAUCAGCCCUCCUUCAGCUCUUCAUUGUGGUAUUUCAGAACAUUACUUAUCUUCCAAUACCCACAUCGUCAUCGUUAUCGUCAUUGGCUUUCCAUAGAAAAUCUUCAUUGUUAAUCCUGCUGUUCUUCUUGCCGUUACUUAGCCAACUCACAUGGAUAGGCUUUAACAACAUCUCUUUUUUUGGACUGCAAAUAUUCAUCUUCCUUCGGUACAACACUGCCGUUUUGACAAUUUCGGUAGUUUUGCCCCUAGUGGACCACACGCAACUACAUUUUCUUCGUCUUCCUGUCAUUGUUGUCUACGACUUCACCUCAACGCUGUCUUCGUUGACGUCUUCGCCUUCAUCUCCGUCUCGUCAUCUUCGCCGUCUUUGUCUACGCCAUCACCUCGUCGCCGGCUUUUCCUUCGCUCUUCACGUAGGGAAU